rnacentral:lncRNA from 1 species
GAAACAGUGGAAAGGUGGAUUGAUAAUGUGCUGAAGAAACUGAUUAAAUCUUCUGGUAUAGUAUCAGAAUCCCAAGAACAAUGUGCUGAAGAAACUGAUUAGACCUUUAAGCUCUUCUCUAGCAGGGUCUUUGAUAUCAAAUGCCUGUCAGAACCCCCAUUCAGUAAACUGCUUCAAUUUGAGCUUAGGAAUCCAAGGAAGACACGGAUAAGGGAAAGUUGAUUACGCCAGAAUCUAUAUUUCUCAAGAGCAACUCAAGUUUACUGGAACUCUUCACCCUUCACUGGAAUUCAAUAAAACUUUGAACAACAGAGAGCCACAGAAAAGUACUAAAGGAGGGCAGAAUGUAUUUUGGGAUUCAACAUCAGCAGGAUAGUCUCAAAUCUUAUUCCCAGGCUCCACUCCAUCAUGGCAACCUUGCUAUACACACCCUCUCCUCUAUUUACUUCUGUGAUUGGGAACUUACUGUUUUAAAUUGAAUUUUUGAACCAUUGUUCAACUAAACAUUCCCAGCUUUGAAAAAUCCAUAUUAGGAGCAUCUAGGUAUAAAAUCCCAAUUUUAACAUGCUAUUUGCUGCCAUUUUCCUCCGGGCAUGCACUUUCACUAUUUUAUCCGAUUUUUAACUAUUUUCAUGAUUUUCUCGAUUUUCUCAAGCAUGAACAAACUUCAUGAUUCCAAACAAUGGAAUUAAUAGAAUAAAUUCAUGCAAAAGUAAUCAGGGCAUUGGAGGGAGGCCCGACAUUCAUAAUAUUCUCUUCAAUAGUGUCUUGUUUGAUAUUUGAUUGAUUGUGCUUCCUCUUUGUGGUAUAUAUGAGAUUAUUUUGAAUUAGUUAUUGAGUUAAUUUUGUUUCCCAUAGAGGAGUAUUAACUCGCUAAUCAGGUACGCUCUUUCUACCACCACACUUUCCAAAAUUUCAUGAAUAUGAGACAUAACCAUGUUUGAUGCCAUAAUUGAUUGCUUUGAUCCUUGUUGGAUCGUCUUUGAUGAAAAUACAUAUUAUGUGUCAUAUUUCCAAACUAAUAUCUCAUGUUUUGUGAUAGCGUUUGAGAAGCCGUUCAGGUACGCACUUCGACUCUCUCUUAUGGUUGGUUUUCUUAUUAGGCAUGCAAUAUUUGAAAUCACCUAGCCUACUCAGGUAUCCAUAAUUAACUGAUUAAUGGCCACACUUCCCUUAACUUUGUCAGUAGAGACCUUUAGAGGGCUUAGAGGGGUGCUACCUUUUAAAGGUACCUUCCCAAUAGGUUAUCUGAUCCCCGGACCUAGACUCGGGUUUUUCAAAGACACGCUUUUCCAAAAAUUGUGGAGUCAUUUUUUUAGGGUUUUAUUUCUUGUUUUAUUUUCCCUUCAAAAAUAAAAAUAAAAUAAGUGGCGACUCCAACUUUUUUUAAAAUUAAUUUUUCACAAUAAAAAGCGAGUCUCGCCGAUCGAGUGGGGACGCACGUGAAAAAUGCGGGUCCACAAAUUGGCGACUCCACUGGGGAUCUCUGAUCGGUGAAAAUGACCAGACUCAAAGAAAGUGCUCCACUAGGGGCUCAUCUCAACCAAAUGAAAGGGAAUAUGCCCCAGUAAGAUAAUUGAUGCACAGUAGAAUGAAAAUCUGGAUAGCAUCAAAUAUCAUCCAUAAAAUGAAGCAAUCAUCCACAUCCAUCACCAAAUCACCUCCAAGCAUCAAAGAAGCAUCUCCCAGAAGAAGAAACAUGACAACAUCUAUAUAUUAACCAAAUCCCAAACACCAACCUAAGUAGAGGCUGUCAAAGAGAAUACACACGGUUUCAUGGCUCCUCCCAAGCCUCACAAAAUUCUAAUGGUGGCUGAGAAGCCCAACAGUGCUCUUUCUAUCUCCUUGGCUCUCUCUGGUGGUCACAUGUCUACUAGGUGUAGUAGUACAGAAGUCCAUGAAUUUAAUGGAACCUUUCGUGGAUCUAAUGCACAAUAUAAGGUAACAACAGACAAGAAAGCUCCAAAAUUGUUGAAUUAAACAAAGAGCAGUCCAUGUUUAUCAGACUUUGAUGGUCAGAAUUGCUCCUCUGCUUCAAACCUCAUGCUACACUGUCUCCAGCAAACGGUGAAUCAAAAUGACAUUCAUUCAAAUUGUUGUAGCAAAGGAUGGCCUUUGCUGUAGUGCUUUGAUAGGUUCAGUUGUAGUAAACAUCAAUAAUAAAUAGCUCGUCCAACUUUGCAUCUUUCAUGUGACUACUCUAGUUAACAGAAUAUUAGAAUGUCAUGAAACUUGCUGAUUAUUUGUGGAAAAAUCAGGGACUGAAGUUCUACUCAAGCUAUUGCUUGGGCCUAAUUUUGCCCAGUUUUUCGGAAUGGUGCCAUUUGCUCUAUACGAUACCCUGGUCUACAAAAUAGCAUCCAGCAUCACCUAGACACACUGAUUAUUAGUACUCUAUGAAACUAAACAGACUUUGUUUACGACUGAUUUGUGGCAGAAGCAGAGUAAGAGAAGGGGGAGGGUAUUGGCUUGUUUCCCUGACCUUUAGCUCGACAUAAUUUGACAGAUAUCAGGCUCUUCGAGUAGCUCAGACUUUUUUUAAAAUUUUUGUGAGUGGGAAGAGUAAGACACACGACAAAUUGGAGCUUCAAGAUUGCAUGAUUAAUUUCUAGAGACAUUUGAGAAGCGGAUGAAUUUUGGCUUCAGCAAAAGAAAACUAAGAACUCGAAAAUCUAGUUACAGCCAAAUCAAAUGCUAUCAAGCAUAUUGGCCUCAAAGCAAUGAGGUUUAAGACAGCAAAAGGACUCUGUACCUGUGGAGAUUGAAACUGAUCUAGCUGCCUAUCACAUCAAGGAUAUCCUUAGUUUGCUCUUGAUGAAUAAAUAGGAAGCACAUACAGACUUUAUUCGUUUGUCCAGCUAAGAGACCAAUUGAUACAGAAUUCUGGAACUGUUAUGGAAUUGGUAGAGCUUUUAAUAGAAAUACAGAUCAAACACCAUCAUUAAAGAUGAAAACCAAGUUCAGUGCAGAUUGUUUAAGACAGAAAGAAAAUAGUCUCCGUGUGUGACAGAAGUUAAGAAUGGUGUCUAAACAUUCUUGCUCUCUAUUGGAAUUCCUCAGCAAACAGCAGAAUUUGAAUCAUAUAUUCGAAAUCACCUAGCCUACUUAGGUAUCCAUAAUUAACUGAUUAAUGGUCACACUUCCCUUAACUUUGUUAGUAGAGACCUUUAUAGGGCUUAAAGGGGUGCUACCUUUUAAAGGUACCUUCCCAAUAGGUAACCUGAUCCCUGGACUUAGACUCGGGUUUCUCAAAGACAUGCUUUUUCCAAAACUAUGGAGUCACUUUUUAGGGUUUUUCUUUCUUGUUUUAUUUUCCCUUUAAAAUAAAAAUAAAAUAGGUGGCGACUCCAACUUUUUUAAAAUUAAUUUUUCACAAAUAAAAAGCGAGUCUCGCCGAUCGAGUGGGGACGCACGUGAAAAAUGCGGGUCCACAAAUUGGCGACUCCACUGGGGAUUUUGAGGAUCAAGCUUGAACACUAGUUGAGGAAAAUGUGGCGUUUAAUUGGUCGAUUAGUGGGUACCUCCUUUUUAGGCAAGGUGAUUCGAUUUGCUUGAUUGUUUGGUUUGCUAUCUUACCAUGUUUGAUUGCCUUGGAUGAUCACUUGAUUGUUUUGCUCACUUUAGCAUGAUUCACUCUCACAUAUGCUAGAUAGGACUUUGAUUGUAUGAUACUUAUCUACUUGGUAUGACUGCUUGUUGCAUGACAACCCUUUCUCUUGCAUGAUUGUAUGAUUGCUUGUCUUUGUUCACUAUCUCACUUUAGAUCUUAGGUUUUUCAGAUGCACCCACAUCCUUCAUUGUGCACUUUAGAUUAUCCCUGAGUGUUGAGAGAUGGGAGAGCCUUCACCCUUAAGAAACCCCCUGGGAACGCGAGGAAGUGCAUGUGUGGGGGUGAUGACCACCUUGCAUGGAAGCACCCCGUCUCCUUGGAGGCGUGCAGAGGGUUGUGUACCACCGGAGGGUACGAUCGCUUCUGCUAGAGAUCCUUUAACCCACCCAUUUUAUCUUAUAGAGCCGCCUUAACCUUGUAGGUUAGCCUAGACCCAAUUAAGAUUUCAUUCCUACACGUGGGUGCAUCUGUGGACCUUUAGAGCUGCCUUGGUCACGAUUGGGAUUGGUUAUCCUUUCCUUAGUCUCUUUUUGGUGUAAUCAGAGGAGGGUGUCAGAUUGAGUAUAUUUGGGCUUUGCUUCUACGCCUUUGAUUCAUACAGAGUCACCUUCGAGUUGCACCUUAUUCAGUGUUUCCAUAUUUGUAGGAGGGUUUACCGUGACCGAUCUGGAUUCACCUUUGUGGAUUAGAGUUGGAGGUAGAUUGUGCAGAGUAUCAGACCAGUCAAAUCAGAGAUCAGAUCAGAGGGAUAUGGACUCACAGGUAGUUACCGUUGACCAGUUUGCCGCAGCCAUGGCUUCUAUCCAGGAGGCUAUAGCUAACCUUGGUCAGAGGAUAGAUGGACAGCAGACCCAGCAGGUCCCAGUUCAAGAGAGUGCCCAGUUUGAUACCACAAUACCGCCACCACCUCUGCCUAGUCAGUCAGUACCACAGGCUAUACCUUUCACUCUGCAUAGUCAGAUCGAGGUUGCCCCGCCUCCCAUCACAUCACCUAUCCCGGCUUCAGAGGACCCACACACACGUAUGGAUAGACUCGAGCAGAAGUUGAGACAGAUGAGGACUUCAGAGGGAGCUAUUACUUGGGAGGAUUUUGAUGGAGCACCAGUGGCCAAUCUACCGGCCAAGUUUAGGAUGCCUGAGAUUGAGAGAUACACAGGCAUAGGAUGCCCUCGCAUCCAUUUGAGACUCUAUAGUACUGUUAUGAGGGCCCAUGGACUGGAUGAUGCCCAGAUGGUUAUGCUCUUCCCUAUGUCAUUGAGUGGAGCUGCACAGCGUUGGUUCGCUUCAUUGGAGGUAUCACGUCGUAGGACUUGAGAUGACUUAGCCCAGGAGUUUUUGAGACAGUUUGCAUUUAACACUGUCAUUGAUGUUUCGAGGAGAGAGUUGGAGGCUUUGAGACAGAGGCCGGAGGAGUCAGUCACUUCAUUUAUCUCCUGCUGGAGGGAGAAUAUUUCACAGAUUAUAGACCGUCCUUCAGAGAGAGAUCAGAUUAGCAUGAUCAUGAGGAGCUUGCAGCCUAGAUUUGCUAGACACUUGAUGGGAUUUCCCCAUACGGAUUUUGGAUCUUUGGUACAGGCUUUGUACGGUAUAGAGGAGGGCAUUGCUAGAGGAUUAUGGUCUGAGUCUUCCCCUACUGAUUCUAAGAGGAAGAGGUCUUUAGGAGGACAGAGAUCAGGAGAUGUUGGAGCUAUCAGUUCAGCAGGAAUGAGACCUUCUAGACGCUAUCAGACAGUUGGGCAGACUCCUGGGUACUACUAUCCACCUUCACCUCAUGCGCAUUAUAGACCACCCGCUCCUUCCAGACCCAUGACUCCUACUUAUAUGCAUCCGGACUCGCAGCCUGUUUUUGCUGCACAUGUCGCAGAGAGGCCUCCUGCCCCAUAUACUCGACCCCGAGCUCCACAGACCACUACUUAUGUGCAGAGGCCACCACGUCAGUUUGCUCAGUUGGGUAUGCCUUUGAGUCGAGCUUUUCAGAAGCUCACAGAGGGUGGAUUACUGAUUCCAUUAGCAUCCAGGCCUUUACCCCAACCCAUACCACCUCGCUUCAGGAUGGACUUACAUUGUUCCUAUCAUCAGGGACCAGGGCAUGACACGGACCAUUGCACUGCUUUGAGACAUGCUAUUCAGGACUUGAUAGAUCAAGGUUUGGUCAACUUAGGGUAGCUAAGUGUGACCACUAACCCUCUUCCUGCUCAUUUUACACACACAGUGCAUCCAUCUUCAGGAGAUAUUCAUCACAUGGACCUUAUAAAGGAUGACUGUAUACACAUGUUGAGUUGGGAUGAUGGAUUACCCAAACCGAUUGUUUUGCAUGACAGCUAUGAGAUUGAUGGGGUUUCAUUGGUCCCUUAGACUCCUGCACUAUUCAGUUUGAUCCCGGACGAGGCACCAUUCCAGUUGACUCAUCUUAUACCCUUAGUUAUCGGAUGUCAGGAUAUUUUUGUCCCUUUCACCUUAUGGCCAGAGGAUGAUGAUUCAGAGGGGAGAGAGAUACAGAUUGUGACUCGUAGUGGGAGGAUAGCUCAGCCACCACCACCAGCAGUCAGACCAUUUGAGGGUACAGCCUCUCAUGAGGAGGUUAGGAGAGAGGAUGAUGAGGUUUUGAGACAGUUACAGAGUACUCAGGCUCGCAUUUCCAUCUGGAGUUUAUUAGCAUCAUCCAGUACUCAUAGAGAUGCUUUGAUUCGAGCCUUGAGUCAGAUUAGAGUAGAGACUACCACCACUCUAGAGGGAUUGAUUCAUAUGAUGAUGGCUGGCAGAGCCACUUGCAUUGUAUUUUCAGAUGAUGACUUGCCACCUGAUGGUUUAGACCACGUGCGCCCUCUAUACAUCACAGUUGGAUGUUCAGGCCGUAGAGUCUCGUCUGUCCUACUGGACAACGGCUCAGCCCUGAAUGUUUGUCCUUUAGCCACUACUAUAACCCUUGGUUUCGUGCCUUCAGAUUUUGGUCCUUCUACUCAGACAGUCAGGGCGUAUGAUAGCACCAAGAGGGAGGUUAUGGGUACCUUGAUGAUUGAUUUGCAGAUUGGUCCAACCACAUUUUCCACUUUGUUCCAGGUUUUGAGGAUUCCUACAUCCUUUAACCUGCUACUGGGCCGACCAUGGAUUCAUGUAGUUGGAGCUAUUCCUUCUUCCCUUCAUCAGAAGGUGAAGUUCAUUCAUGAUGGGCAAGUUAUCACAGUACAGUCCACCAGGGAUAUGUUAGCCUCUUCCGAGCCAGUACUUCAGAUUAGUCAUAGUGAGGAUGACCUAUUUUUGACUGGAUUUACUUUUGAUGAGAUACAGACUCUCGAGAUUGAGGAUUUUCAUAGAGACUUUGUGGCUAUGUCAUUUGAUCAGCACAGUAGCACAGUGGUCCUUGAUAUGAUGAGGGGUAUGACCUUUCUACCUGGCAUGGGGUUAGGACGACGUCAGCAGGGACCGAGUGAGUUCAUAGCUGCCAUUGACCAUGAUACGACAUUUGGACUUGGAUUCAUCCCUACUGAGGCCGAUUACCGUCACAUGGCGCAGCUGCGCAAGGAGAGGGUGAGAGCCCGUUUAUCCCACACACCAUUUGAUUAUCCUAUUCGACCCUAUAGGAUGAGUUUGGCUGACUACUUUGUCAGAGGAUCAGAGACUCGACCUCGUCUAGAGGAGAUUGAUAGUGUGGUUCAUACAGAUAGGGAGACCGAUCUUCAGCAUCUAUUUCACCAGCUACAGUUGAGUGAUGGGGCUCCCGACACUUCUUUCCCUAUGGCGAUUACUCCCACGUCUCUAGAUUGAACUAGCAUGUUGUCUCUAUGCUUUCCAGAGGAGAUCACGAGUGAUGGGGUGAAUGUUGAUCCUACUGAGGUGAUUGAUGGAGUUGUUCCCCAUGAUGAGUACCGUGAUGAGAUGGACAUGAUGACCGUGAGCCAGAUUAUAGGCAUUGUUCAGCUUCAGCCUGUUUCAGCAUUUGAUAUGUUUGGGGUGUCUACCAUUGAGGUUUUUGAGGGGACUCAGAAUCUUCCUGUUCCAAAGCUUCCAGAGGAUGAUAGUAGUUUGUUUGAGGGCAUCGUUAGCUUAGUUGAGGGAGCGUCCGACCUUGUGGACCCACCUCUUUCUUUUGAUGUUUUAUCGGGAUUUGUCUCCCGCUCUGACAAUGUUUCUGUUGCUUCAUUUAUGGAUUUGAGCAUUUUUUAGUAUUCGCCUGUCUCUUGUGAUAGUAUCUCUAUAUCUGCACCCCACCCACCCACUUCACAGAUAUUUGAUAUAGAUGAUGAGAUUACACAGCCCGGUUCGGAUAGGGACUCUUUGGAUCAUGACUCUGGUCCCAUAGAUGAGAGAGUUUCACCUGCUGCAGGGGACAUUGAGAUUGUUGAUUUUGGCACAGAGGAUCAGCCUAGAGAGUUGAAGAUUGGUUCAUCUCUAUCUAGAGAUGAGAGAGAUAGACUCAUCCAUUUACUCAGGUCAUAUUUGGAUGUCUUUGCAUGGUCUUAUGAGGACAUGACAAGUCUUGAUCCCUCUAUAGUCCAGUACCAUUUACCUACCCUACCACAUGCUAGACCAGUUAAGCAGAAAUUGAGACGGUUGCAUCCACGUUGGAGUCUACAGGUAAAAGAGGAGAUUCAGAAACAACUCAGUGUUGGGUUCAUAUCAGUAGUUGAGUAUCCAAAGUGGUUGGCUAAUGUCGUCCCUGUUCCUAAAAAGGAUGGCAAAGUUAGGGUUUGUGUUGACUUCAGAGAUCUCAAUAAAGCCAGCCCUAAAGAUGACUUUCCCCUUCCACACAUUGAUUUGUUGGUUGAUGGCACCGCAGGCCAUUCGAUGUUGUCUUUCAUGGAUGAGUUUUCAGGGUAUAAUCAGAUUUUGAUGGCUCCAGAGGAUAUGGAGAAGACAGCCUUUAUUACUGAGUGGGGUACCUACUGUUACAGAGUUAUGCCAUUUGGGUUGAAGAACGCAGGAGCCACUUAUCAGAGAGCCGCUACCACUUUGUUUCACGACAUGAUGCAUAGGGAUGUCGAGGUUUACGUAGAUGAUAUGAUUGUGAAAUCCCAAGGUAGAGCAGAUCACCUAGAUGCUUUAAAGAGAUUCUUUGAGAGGAUCCGCAAGUUUAGAUUGAGGUUGAAUCCCAAGAAGUGUACCUUUGGAGUGACUUCUGGGAAGUUAUUGGGACAUAUAGUCAGUGAGCGGGGCAUAGAGGUCGACCCAGAUAAAAUCAAAGCCAUACUUGACAUGCCUGCACCAAAGACUGAGAAAGAGAUUAGAGGUUUUCUGGGCAGAUUACAGUACAUUAGUCGGUUCAUAGCCAGAUUGAUAGACAUAUGUGAGCCUAUCUUUCGUCUUUUGAGGAAGAACUAGCCAACAAUUUGGAAUGAUGACUGUCAGUUUGCAUUUGAGAAGGUCAAGGAGUAUUUGCUUUCUCCUCCUGUUUUAGUGCCUCCUACGCCAGGACGUCCACUUCUUCUAUAUUUGUCAGUUUCAGACAUGGCCUUGGGAUGUAUGUUAGCUCAGAUUGAUGACUUAGGAAAGGAACGAGCUAUUUACUACCUAAGUAAGAGGAUGUUGGAGUAUGAGAUGAAAUAUGUUAUGAUUGAGCGCCUAUGCUUCACACUAGUUUGGGCUACCAGGAGAUUGAGGCAUUACAUGACAGAGUACUCAGUACAUUUGAUAUCCCGCUUGGACCCGUUGAGAUACUUGUUUGAUAGACCUGCAUUGACUGGUAGAUUGAUGAGAUGGCUUGUACUUUUGACAGAGUUCGAUAUUCAGUAUGUUUCUCAGAAGUCUAUUAAGGGGAGUAUUGUCGCCGAUCACUUAGCCUCACUACCGACAUCUGAGGAUAGACCAGUUGAUGAUGAUUUUCCAGAUGAGGAGUUUGUUGCUAUGACCAGCUUAUCAAGAUGGUGCAUGUACUUCGAUGGUGCAGCCAAUCAGUCAGGGUAUGGGAUAGGUGUUCUAUUGGUAUCCCCUCAGGGUGAUCAUAUUCCGAGGUCCGUUCGUUUGGAAUUCUCUGAUCGACAUCCUGCCACGAAUAACAUAGUUGAGUAUGAGGCUUGUAUCCUUGGUUUAGAGACUGCAUUGGAGCUUGACAUUAGACAGAUGGAGGUGUUUGGUGACUCCAAUCUGGUACUCAGGCAGAUUCAGGGGGAUUGGAAGACUAGAGACGUGAAGCUUAGGCCAUAUCAUGCUUACUUAGAGUUGUUGGUUGCCAGAUUUGACGACUUGAGAUAUGUUCAUCUGCCUAGAGCGCAGAACCGAUUUACUGACGCCUUAGCUACUUUAGCUUCCUCUGUGGACAUUCCGAUUGAUGUAGUCAUACGUCCAUUACUGAUUGAGUCGAGGUCUGCAUCCGCCUAUUGUUGUUUGAUUGGGGAGAUAGAGGACCAGGAUGAUCUACCUUGGUAUCAUGACAUUCAUCAGUUCCUCAGAUUUGGCACAUACCCUGAGGUAGCCACUGCCAAGGAUCAGAGAGCACUGAGGCAUUUGGCUACUAGAUUUGUGAUUUGCGGAGAUACCUUAUACAGGCGAUCAGUUGAUGGUAUGAUUUUGUUGUGUUUAGAUCGAGCCUCUGCAGAUCGAGUGAUGAGAGAGGUCCAUUCAGGAGUUUGUGGUUCACAUAUGGGAGGACACAUGCUAGCCCGUAAGAUUAUGAGGACGGGCUAUUUCUGGUUGACUAUGGAGACAGAUUGUUGUCAGUUUGUCCAGAAAUGCCCAGAGUGUCAGAUUCAUGGUGAUCUCAUUCAUGCACCGCCAUCAGAGUUACACGCUUUGACCUCGCCAUGGCCAUUCUCAGUAUGGGGUAUUGAUAUUAUUGGGAAGGUUUUACCAAAAUCUUCCAGUGGUCACGAGUUCAUCCUGGUUGCCAUAGAUUAUUUCACCAAGUGGGUGGAGGCUGCAUCAUAUGCGAGGUUGACAUCUGCUAGGGUUGCUAGUUUCAUCAGAUCACACAUCAUUUGCCGCUAUGGGGUUCCUCAUGAGUUGAUUUCCGACAGAGGGGCGCACUUCCGAGCUGAGGUAGACACUUUGUUGCAGGAGUAUGGCAUUCGACAUCAUAGAUCUUCAGCAUAUAGGCCACGGACCAAUAGGUCAGUAGAGGCUGCAAACAAGAAUAUUAAGAGGAUUUUGAGGAAGAUGGUUGAGACUUCUCGAGAUUGGUCAGAGAAGUUUCCUUUUGCAUUGUGGGCAUACCGCACCUCUACAGGAGCUACGCCUUACACCCUAGUGUAUGGUAUGGAGGCUGUUUUGCCAGUCGAGACAGAUAUGGGCUCAUUGAGAGUAUCCCUUGAGCAGCAGAUUUCUGAGACAGAGUGGGCUCAGGCUCGAUUUGAUCAGCUUAACCUUUUAGAUGAGAGGAGAUUGAGAGCAGCAGAUCAUGUUCAGGCCUAUCAGAGAAAGAUGGCUCGUGCCUUCAAGGAGAUUGGGGCCCUUUGAUGUAUAUGUAUGCUUUGCUAGGAAAGUCUCAUGAGCUUUAGACUUAUAGGUCUAUCUUCUCAUUUUGCUACCAUCCUCUUAUCACCCUAUUUGUUCUAUUUUAUUAUCACCACAUAUUCAUUCUCUUUCUUGUCCCUAUCAUUAUUUGCUUCAUCUUUAUCUAUUCUCUUCCUUGGGUUGAUGAUUCUUCACGUCUUAGUGCAAGGAGGGCUGUCAUAUCACUUUAUUCAUUCCAUCAUUUGACAUUGAUUCGGAGAUUUUAGUUUGGGAGGUUGUCUCAGGGGUUGGGGUUCAUGUAUCCAUCAGUGGUCAGUGAGACUUUGUUCAUUCCUUAUAUUUUUCCAUUGGAGUUUGAUUUAUUGAUGAUCAGAGCAUGCGCCAAAAAAAAAUAUAUAUAUAUAUCAAAAAAAAAAAAAAGCGCAAGGAUAUGCUCAUGUAUGGUAUCUCAUUCCAUUGGGUAUUUAUGCCACCUUUGGAGGUUCAUUUAUUGGGUAUAUUUGUCAUUGUGGGUUUUUGUGAGUUUUUAUGAGUUUUUCAGUCCUUGAGCCACUCUUGUUACGCAUUUGGAGUGUCGAGGGUUCAUGUGAGAGUUCUAUGAGAUCCUAUGCUGCUUGGAUCAUGAUUGAUAUAUAUUAGGUAUGAGAUAUGAGUGACCUUUUUACUAGGGUCUCCGGAUCAUUGUCUUAUACCCACCAUUCCAUCAUUGGUGGUAUGACUUUCCUUUAUUGUACUAACAUGGGUUGAUCAUCACUCAUUCCACUUUCUCAUUGCUUUCUUUUGUAUCCCAUCACCUCUUUCCAGAUCUUCGUUCCACUUUUUAUCCAUUCCCUACUUGUUUGAUACCCAUUACUGAUUUGAUACCUUCUUCACAUCAUUCACAUAUUUCAUUGAUGGUUUGACCAUUCAUCCUUUCUCUCAUUUCGCUAUCGACAUUCCCUUUGGUUACUUCUAAGUCCAUGACUCAUGAGAUUUUUCUAUGCAUUACAUCUUAUACAUGAGGGUAUGGGUUUGAUCAUUGGGUAUUUGAGCCUAGUUUCCUUUCAUUUCUUUCACCCUAUCACCUUGGCCUACGUUACGUCCCGUGUCUUAAGACCACCCUGAGGCCACGAGAUCAGACGAUAUCUUUGACAGUCUUCACUUGGACAGGUUUUUGGUAGAUUGGUUGAAGUAUGGUCGUUACUAUGUUCUCUUUUAAGGAAGAUACUUUCGGAAGCAUUUGGUCUCUCUCUUGCUUGGCAUAUUGAUGUUUGAUGGAUUUUUGGGUUUGGAAACAGUUCAUUGAGGAUAUUGGAUUCAUCCUUUGGUUGUGCAUUAGAUAUCCACACUAGGGCAUAUUCCCCUCUCCUUGAUGAGAUUGUAUUUGGGCAGUGAUAUGAGGAUGGAUGAUGGAUGAUCAUUGUUAGUUUGUUUGCCUCACGACUUCGACAUCCGAUAUCCAUACUGGGGCAUAUUCCCCUCUCCAUUAUGAGAUUUAUUUGGGCAGUGAUAUGAGGAUGGAUGAUUGGUGUCGGUUGUUUAGCUUAUGACUUUGACGUCAGAUCUUAUACUGGGGCAUAUUUCCCCCAUUUUCUUUGAGUAUCCUUGAGAUUGAAACAAUGGAAAGGUGGAUUGAUAAUGUGCUGAAGAAACUGAUUAAAUCUUCUGGUAUAGUAUCAGAAUCCCAAGAACAAUGUGCUGAAGAAACUGAUUAGACCCUUAAGCUCUUCUCUAGCAGGGUCUUUGAUAUCAAAUGCCUGUUAGAACCCCCAUUCAGUAAACUGCUUCAAUUUGAGCUCAGGAAUCCAAGGAAGACACGGAUAAGGGAAAGUUGAUUACGCCAGAAUCUGUAUUUCUCAAGAGCAACUCAAGUUUACUGGAACUCUUCACCCUUCACUGGAAUUCAAUAAAACUUUGAACAACAGAGAGCCACAGAAAAGUACUAAAGGAGGGCAGAAUGUAUUUUGGGAUUCAACAUCAGCAGGAUAGUCUGAAAUCUUAUUCCCAGGCUCCACUCCAUCAUGGCAACCUUGCUAUACACACCCUCUCCUCUAUUUACUUCUGUGAUUGGGAACUUACUGUUUUAAAUUGAAUUUUUGAACCAUUGUUCAACUAAACAUUCCCAGCUUUGAAAAAUCCAUCUUAGGAGCAUCUAGGUAUAAAAUCCCAAUUUUAACAUGCUAUUUGCUGCCAUUUUCCUCCGGGCAUGCACUUUCACUAUUUUAUCCGAUUUUUAACUAUUUUCAUGAUUUUCUCGAUUUUCUCAAGCAUGAACAAACUUCAUGAUUCCAAACAAUGGAAUUAAUAGAAUAAAUUCAUGCAAAAGUAAUCAGGGCAUUGGAGGGAGGCCCGACAUUCAUAAUAUUCUCUUCAAUAGUGUCUUGUUUGAUAUUUGAUUGAUUGUGCUUCCUCUUUGUGGUAUAUAUGAGAUUAUUUUGAAUUAGUUAUUGAGUUAAUUUUGUUUCCC